rnacentral:rRNA from 1 species
UACGUAGGGUGCAAGCGUUAUUCGGAAUUACUGGGCGUAAAGCGUGCGCAGGCGGUUCGGAAAGAAAGAUGUGAAAUCCCAGGGCUUAACCUUGGAACUGCAUUUUUAACUGCCGGGCUAGAGUAUGUCAGAGGGGGGUAGAAUUCCACGUGUAGCAGUGAAAUGCGUAGAGAUGUGGAGGAAUACCGAUGGCGAAGGCAGCCCCCUGGGAUAAUACUGACGCUCAUGCACGAAAGCGUGGGGAGCAAACAGG